CUCUUAUCAAGAGUAGGCUGAGGGAUUUGGCCCGAUGACGCCCAGCAACCGACCGUAAAACCAUUGUAAAAUGGGGCGCAGUUUUUUAUGCGCGGGGAGAUUUCUCCCACAAGGCACGGUGCUAAUUCCAACAGAAAGAAUUUCUUUCUGGCAGAUAAGAG
rnacentral:ncRNA from 2 species